rnacentral:rRNA from 1 species
AGUGAACGCUGGCGGUAGGCCUAACACAUGCAAGUCGAACGGCAGCACAGUAAGAGCUUGCUCUUACGGGUGGCGAGUGGCGGACGGGUGAGGAAUACAUCGGAAUCUACUUUUUCGUGGGGGAGAACGUAGGGAAACUUACGCUAAUACCGCAUACGACCUACGGGUGAAAGUAGGGGAUCUUCGGACCUUGCGCGAUUGAAUGAGCCGAUGUCGGAUUAGCUAGUUGGCGGGGUAAAGGCCCACCAAGGCGACGAUCCGUAGCUGGUCUGAGAGGAUGAUCAGCCACACUGGAACUGAGACACGGUCCAGACUCCUACGGGAGGCAGCAGUGGGGAAUAUUGGACAAUGGGCGCAAGCCUGAUCCAGCCAUGCCGCGUGGGUGAAGAAGGCCUUCGGGUUGUAAAGCCCUUUUGUUGGGAAAGAAAAGCAGCAGGUUAAUACCCCGCUGUUCUGACGGUACCCAAAGAAUAAGCACCGGCUAACUUCGUG